rnacentral:rRNA from 1 species
AAGGCCUUCGGGUCGUAAACCCCUUUCGCCGAUCCAUAUGGAUUGGAAAAGAAGUGCCUGCUAACUACGUGCCAGAAGCCUCGGUAAUACGUAGGGCACGAGCGUUAUCCGGAAUCACUGGGCGUAAAGCGUUUCGUAGGCGGAAUGAAAAGUUGAUAGUGAAAUCCCACAGCUCAACUGUGGACACGCUAUCAAAACUCUCAUUCUAGAAUCUCAUAGGGGUGACUGGAACUGUUGGUGUAGCAGUGAAAUGCGUUGAUAUCAACAGGAACACCGAGGGCGAAGGCAGGUCACUGGGUGAGCAUUGACGCUGAGGAACGACAGCUAGGGGAGCGAAAGGGAUUAGAUACCCCUGUAGUC